rfam:Gossypium hirsutum cultivar TM-1 chromosome 21, whole genome shotgun sequence
UGUUAAAAAUUUCAUCCAUUUGUACUGUUAAAAAUUAGCGUGAUUGAUGGAAUAACCGGAAAAUGAUACGUAGCAUGGCACGUGUACAACAUGUUAACAUAGAAUAACCAUUUUUUUAGUAGUUAUGGAUGAAACUUUUAACA